AGGUUGGUGCAAAAGUAAUUACGGUUUUGCCAUUUUAAUUGUGACAAAAACCACAAUUACUUUUGCACCAA
rnacentral:miRNA from 1 species